ACAAGUAUUUAUUGUAUAUUUGGUAUGUUGCUUAAAGGUGAAAUCUGUAAAAGGUCCUUUUUGAUACCCACAUCAAGGAAGAAACUUCCUAGAAACCAUAUUUAAUACUACAGAGUGAAAUUAUAUGUUAAAUGUAUUAGAGAAUAUAGCUGCUACAGAAAUGCAUUUUUUUCUUGGUGUGGAACAACUCAGUUUGGCAAAGUUUAAAAUUUAACUAAAGAAGAGACCUAAUUCAGGAUAAAUAUUGAACUAAUUAGAAAACUAGAUUGGGAUAUGAUCAAUUCCAAGAGCUUUUGCUCAGAGCUUUUUUUAUAUCUUAUGUUUUGUCUUAUUAGUGAACAUUCAUUUGUAACAAAGUUUUGAAGGUGCUGAGUGAAAAACAGAAACACGUGGUUAUUGCAUAUUGAACCUAGAAUCAAAUAAUUGCCUAAAUAUUUAACAAAAAGCCAUUCUUCUCUCAGAGAUUUAAAUUCUUUAAUAUCUGAUUUGCAAAUUUUAUAAAAUGGAGGUUCUUAUUUAGCAUGAGCGUCAGGGGAGUAAGGAGCUUUCCUUUAUAACCGGGUAAAUUGUUACUGGAUACCAAUAGUAGUUGUAUAGAAUACUAAGACAAACUGUUACAGUGUUUGAGGAAAUGGAGUCUCUUUUUCACUGCUACUGAGAGAGCACUUAAGUAGAAGACAGUUAUGUCUGAAUAUUAAAUAUAAAUAAUCUAAAC
rnacentral:lncRNA from 1 species